rnacentral:rRNA from 1 species
UACGAAGGGGGCUAGCGUUGCCCGGAAUUACUGGGCGUAAAGCGCACGUAGGCGGCUUUCUAAGUCGGGGGGUGAAAUCCUGGAGCUCAACUCCAGAACUGCCUCGAUACUGGAAAGCUCGAGUCCGGGAGAGGUGAGUGGAACUGCGAGUGUAGAGGUGAAAUUCGUAGAUAUUCGCAAGAACACCAGUGGCGAAAGGCGGCUCACUGGCCCGAU